AGUUUUGCACAGUGGCAGUAUCGUAGCCAAUGAGGUUUAUCUGAGGCACGAUUAUUGUUAACUGAAAACUUUUCCCAAUAUCCCCUCAUGACGACUUGAAUAUACUCGGCACUGGCAAUUUUUGACAGUCUCUAUGGAGA
rnacentral:snRNA from 1 species